rnacentral:rRNA from 1 species
GACGAACGCUGGCGGCGUGCUUAACACAUGCAAGUCGAGCGAUGAAGCUUCCUUCGGGAAGUGAAUUAGCGGCGGACGGGUGAGUAACACGUGGGCAACCUGCCUCAAAGAGAGGGAUAGCCCUCCGAAAGGAGGAUUAAUACCUCAUAAAGUUAGAAUUUCGCAUGGAAUUUUAACCAAAGGAGUAAUUUGCUUUGAGAUGGGCCCGCGCCCCAUUAGAUAGUUGGUAAGGUAAUAGCUUACCAAGGCAACGAUGGGUAGCCGACCUGAGAGGGUGAUCGGCCACAUUGGAACUGAGAUACGGUCCAGACUCCUACGGGAGGCAGCAGUGGGGAAUAUUGCGCAAUGGGGGAAACCCUGACGCAGCAACGCCGCGUGGGUGAUGAAGGUUUUCGGAUCGUAAAACCCUGUUUUUUGGGACGAUAAUGACGGUA